GGGAGACGGGCCCUGGUCAGCUCACUCCUGCCAGUCUGUACCUGUCUUGCCUGGCUUCGUUUCUUCCGUCCCAGCCUGUGAGGGAGAGGGCCACAGUUCUGUAAAGCUUUCUCUGGGUUGUUCCAAGGGAUCCCCUCCUCUGCCUUCAGUGUGGGAGACUGAAAGCAUGCUACCCAGGAAAACAAAGCUGGAAGAUGGUUUUCUGGAACUGCCUGGAAGCUGUGGUCUUGCUGAAUUUCAGACUUGGCCAAUUCUGGAUCUUGUUAAUGACAUGUGUUGAUAAAGCCAUGCAGAGCUUGGGAGAACGCCCCCUCCACCCUCCCUGGGUCCAGGCCUGCCACGGACCCUGACUCUCCUCGCACUCGCGGACACCUGGGAACUGCCCCCAGCAUCUGGAGGCAAGCCCUGGAGGGUGUGGUGAGGUGACACCCAGAAGUGGGAGUGCAACUUUACAGGCAACGGCCUCAUGGCAAUUGAUUUGGAAGCAACAUCUGAAAGGAAGGAGGGGAAGAGUGUUGCUUAGUGAAGGGUAAUUGACAUUUGUCAUAGAAAAAUACAAUUAAAA
rnacentral:lncRNA from 1 species